ACAAUCGCCUUGACUUCAUUCCCUUUCCUCUUUAGGAAGUCAUUCUUCCAAGAUUCAAGAAGGGGUGCCCUUGCUUGCCUCUUAGAUGAUUCGUCCCUGCAUCCCUCUCCAGUUCCACGAGAUCAUUCUUAACUCUAAGGCAGUUAUGGAAAGGAAGGUAAGUGGUUGGAUUAGGUUAGGUGUUCUGUCUAGGCCUGGGUCAAUGAUGACAACCCAAAGUCAUGAAGAGAGGUGAUGACAUAAAAUUCAUGCUCAAUAGGAUUACGCUGAGGCCCAACCAGGGCGACAGGGUUACAAGAGGUCCGUUGACUCCUUGGGAGGGCUCUUGGGUGACUUCCCUGAGGUCCUCAGAUGACCUUGCCCUGUUUUCCAUCGCAGGAAAUCUGGACAUCUAAGGUGCACGUUGGUUGGCAAACACUGCAUGCCAACAAGCACCUUGUCCCACUUUCGAACCUUGGGCAUUUCUGCAAGGCACGCCCCUUGCUCAUGACCCUGUCUUUUCUGCUGUCUUGCAUUCAUCUCACAUGCCACCUUGGAGGGCAGAGAACAACAGAUAAUUAGUCAUCUCACAAGCCACCUUGGAGGGUAGAGAACCACAGAUAAUCAGUCAUCUUACAUUCCACCUUGGAAGUCAGAGAACUACAGAUAAUCAGUCAUCUCAUAUUCCAACUGGAAGGCAGGGAAUCACAGAUAAUCAGUCAUCUCACAUGCCACCUUGGAAGGCAUAGAACCACUGAUAAUCAGGAAAGAUAUUUUUCCAAGUUUCAAACAAGGGUGUCCUUGCUUCCCUGGAAGAACUUACUUCCCUGCAUACUUCUCCAGUUACAUGUGACCACUCCUAACUCUGAGGCAGUUUGAGAAAGGAAGUUAUCUGACAUGCCACCUUGGAAGGCAGAGAACCACAGAUAUCAGAAGCUCAGUCCAUUAUCAUCAUGACAAGAAUCAUGGCAGUGUCCAGGUGCAGAAGAAAGAGCCAAGAAUUCUCCAUAUUGAACUGAAGGCACAGACAGGAAGAGUGUCUCUUCCACACUGGGAGGAGCUUGAGCACCAGCAGCCCUCAAAGCCUGCCUACACAAUGAUACACUUCUUCUAACAAGACAAUAUGAACCUAUACUCAUUGGACACUAAAAUUCUCGCCAGACAAGAAAACCAACUGAUCUGAUAAAUGCUCCUAGGAAAAUAACAAGAUAUAAAGUCAACACAAAAAGUUAACAAGCAAUGUUGGGAGAACUGUUCUCAGGAUGUCUUCCAAGAUGUUAUCUACCAGCUGCAUGGUAAUUUCACUGAAAC